GAUGAACGCUAGCUACAGGCUUAACACAUGCAAGUCGAGGGGCAGCGCAGUGUAGUAAUACAUGGGCGGCGACCGGCGCACGGGUGCGUAACGCGUAUCCAACCUUCCCGUUACUCAGGGAUAGCCUUCCGAAAGGGAGAUUAAUACCCGAUGUUGUUAUUUAUUCGCAUGUUUGAAUAACGAAAGAUUUAUUGGUAUAGGAUGGCGAUGCGUGGCAUUAGGUAGUAGGCGGGGUAACGGCCCACCUAGCCGACGAUGCCUAGGGGUUCUGAGAGGAAGGUCCCCCACACUGGAACUGAGACACGGUCCAGACUCCUACGGGAGGCAGCAGUGAGGAAUAUUGGUCAAUGGUCUAACGACUGAACCAGCCAUGCCGCGUGAAGGUCACGGCCCUAUGGGUCUUAAAACUUCUUUUGUAAAGGGAGCAAAUAAGCUUUACGUGUAGAGUGAUGAGAGUACCUUACGAAUAAGCAAUCGGCUAACUCCGUGC
rnacentral:rRNA from 1 species